rnacentral:misc_RNA from 1 species
GAUGAAGAACGUAGCGAAAUGCGAUAAGUAAUGUGAAUUGCAGAAUUCAGUGAAUCAUCGAAUCUUUGAACGCACCUUGCACACUUUGGCAUUCCGAAGGGUAUGCUCGUUUGAGUGUCAUUGUACUCUCACACUCUCCGAUCCUAUGGAUUCGGGGAGCGGUGGACUUGGGUGUUGCUGCCUUUCCCUGUGGCUCACCUCAAAUGCGUCAGUGCACCUCUUGGUUGGACAUAGUACGGCGUGAUAAGUGUCUUCGCCGGCACCUCGCAAGAGGGUGGCCGAUCGGGAGCUCUGCGCUUUCAAACCGUCUUCGGACAAUUUCUGACAUCUUGACCUCAAAUCGAGUAGGACUACCCGCUGAACUUAAGCAUAUCAAUAAGCGGAGGA